rnacentral:rRNA from 1 species
UACGGAGGGAGCUAGCGUUGUUCGGAAUUACUGGGCGUAAAGCGCACGUAGGCGGCUUUGUAAGUUAGAGGUGAAAGCCCGGAGCUCAACUCCGGAAUUGCCUUUAAGACUGCAUCGCUUGAAUCCGGGAGAGGUGAGUGGAAUUCCGAGUGUAGAGGUGAAAUUCGUAGAUAUUCGGAGGAACACCAGUGGCGAAGGCGGCUCACUGGUCCAUUACUGACGCUGAGGCGCGAAAGCGUGGGGGAGCAAACAGGG